rnacentral:rRNA from 1 species
UACGGGGGGGAGCAAGCGUUGUUCGGAUUCAUUGGGCGUAAAGGGUGCGUAGGCGGCGCGGUAAGUCGGGUGUGAAAUCUUGGAGCUUAACUCCGAAACUGCAUUCGAUACUGCCGUGCUUGAGGACUGGAGAGGAGACUGGAAUUUACGGUGUAGCGGUGAAAUGCGUAGAUAUCGUAAGGAAGACCAGUGGCGAAGGCGGGUCUCUGGACAGUUCCUGACGCUGAGGCACGAAGGCCAGGGGAGCAAACGGG